UACGUAGGGUGCAAGCGUUAUCCGGAAUUAUUGGGCGUAAAGAGCUCGUAGGCGGUUUGUCACGUCUGCUGUGAAAACUGGAGCUCAACCUCCAGCCUGCAGUGGGUACGGGCAGACUAGAGUGCGGUAGGGGAGAUUGGAUUCCUGGUGGAGCGGUGGAAUGCGCAGAUAUCAGGAGGAACACCGAUGGCGGAAGGCAGAUCUCCUGGGCCGUAACCUGACGCUGAGGAGCGAAAGCAUGGGGAGCGAACAGG
rnacentral:rRNA from 1 species